UAUCUGAUUGAUUCUGUCAGCGCUAUAUGCUUACGUAAAAGACUAAGCCAUGCAUGUACUGUUCAACUAACGGUGAAACUGCGAACGGCUCAUUAGAGCAGAUAUCAUUUAUUCGGUAAUAUUUUUGGAUAACUGCGGUAAUUCUGGAGCUAAUAC
rnacentral:ncRNA from 1 species